rnacentral:lncRNA from 1 species
UUUUUUUUUUUUUGUCUUUGUCUUUUUGUAUUCAAUAACAUGCACUGUGUAUCACAUGGGCCUCACCAAACUUUUACAACUUACUGAACUGAUUUUUGUUUAUAUUGUCCAACAGCAACUUAUUAUUAUAUAUAAUAUGCUUUUCCCAACAACCCCCUUAUUUAUGUCACAUCCCUUGCAUCAAAUCAGAUCUAAUUAUGUGGUUGUCCUUUGAAUUUCAUAGUUCCCUCCUAGGUUUGGGCAUGUACUUAACUUCAUUUAUGACUCAAAAGUUAUUGAAUUCAAGUUCACCUUCCCGUGUUUUUAAAUCACAUGACUCAUGAUUCCAUCAACAUUUUCAAGUUAAUAGCAAACUGUGUUUGUUUCUUUUCACAAAUAGCUCUACUUUUUUCGAUAUUUACUAUGUUAGUCAACUUAAUGUUUAAUAGUUUUAUAAAUUUGGUAUACUUUGAAUGUUGUCAGUCAAAAUUGGCAUACCAUGUGAUGCAUUAUCAGUGUUUUUUUUUAUUUCAAGAAAGCGUGUUUCUUCUUAUGGAAAAUUUGGUAUUAAAUUAUUGAGAUAUUUGAUUUAUGCUCAACUAUCAUGGACCCCACCCCACUUAUAUUAUAAGCUAACUUGUGAUAUUUCAAUCUUUUUUUUUUUUUUUUUUUUUUUUUUUAAUGUAUAGGUGACUGAACAAUGGGUGCCGGAGGGCGAAUGUCGAAGGUGUCAAAUGACAAAAAUACCCCCCAACGGGUCCCGUACCAAAAACCACCAUUCACAGUCGGCGAACUCAAGAAAGCAAUCCCGCCCCAUUGUUUCAACCGAUCCGUUAUCCGCUCGUUCUCAUACGUCGUCUACGACCUCACAAUCGCGUCCAUAUUCUACUACCUUGCGUCAAAUUACAUCCCUACCCUUCCCCACCCUCUAUCCUACGUGGCAUGGCCCGUGUACUGGGCCCUACAAGGUUGUGUACUAACCGGUGUCUGGGUCAUUGCCCAUGAAUGCGGUCACCACGCGUUCAGUGACUACCAAUGGCUCGACGACACUGUCGGCCUCAUCCUCCACUCCGCCCUCCUCGUCCCGUACUUCUCAUGGAAAUACAGUCACCGCCGCCACCACUCCAACACCGGGUCAAUCGAGCACGACGAAGUCUUCGUCCCGAAGCUAAAGUCAAACGUCCGGUCAACCGCAAAAUACCUAAACAACCCUCCGGGCCGAAUCCUAACCCUUUUAGUAACCCUAACCCUAGGUUGGCCCUUAUACCUAAUGUUUAACGUAUCCGGUCGAUACUAC